ACCUUUUUAGGAGGAGAGACCCUUUCCCCCCAUUUCAGAAAUCCCUUCUUAAAACCCACUUUCAAAAAAGAGUUCCGCAGAUUAAAUGGAAGGGCUGUGCUGUGACCCGAGGGCAUCUUUUGAGAGCUGCCCCAACAGGUGCUAAAGGAUUGGCUUCAGCCUUAGAGGAAACAAGAGUCUUUUGAAGCUCCGUGUGUUCUUUGCUUCUAUUUCUAAUACUUCGUAUCGGAAAGAAACACUUCAGUCACAAGAGGAUUUUCAGACAGCUAAUGGUUCUCAGAUGAGACUCUACUUUGCAUUAUUUUUUCCCCAGCAGCAGAAAGUUACUCCACAGCAAUAAUUAGCUCUCUUGUUUGCAGGUGGGUGUUUGUGCUUUGCUAUAACACUUCAGUAAUUUCGCUCAUUGUGAAAAGAAAAUAAGGGAGGUAAGCUUCUCUGGCUCUUGCAAGUAGCUGUCAGUGCUUGCUCUCGUUUCAAGGGCAUGAUAUCAAGGCUUCAUCAACAGCGUCUGAUCUGCCAAUGAAUCGAGUUUUAAGCGGUAUCUGCAGGUUUUAAAGAAAGGAGUAAUGCCAGGCUUUGGUGUCGGCACGUUUCCUUUCGCAUCAGGGAUCACUACAGCCGCUCCCGUGGAGGCUUACGUGUUCAGGUUGGGAAUGCUGCAAAGACUUGGAGGUAAGGGGUACGAAUGAAGGGAUACGAACCUUUUUCUUACUCCCCCCCCCCAGCUGCUCCUUCACGGUGCUCUGACCUGGCAGCCUUUUGCUUCACUGCUCUGGCAUCUGAUCAGAGGUAGCAGGUUUCAUAGAAAACAGUAUUUUUUCCCAAUUGAAAUUCACUGCAAUACUUCUAGGUAUUUCAAUCAUAGAUGCUUCUUUCCUUGCUCGAGUCCAUGGUAAACUCUGGGUGACCCAACUUCUCAGAUGUUAAACAUUACUUCAGUGUAACUUUCUCAAUACGCAAUAUACCGUGCGCAGCCUUCCUGUAGCUGCGUAGUGAUUCAUUUCAGCUUGAGUAUGGUAUAGAUGUAUACGUUGUUCCAUCCUGACCAUACCUCUUAUAUUUCUAGCUUCCACAGCAUUCCUCCCCGGGGAGGGCUUUAAGUCUGUGUGCUAUAUCUUAUCAACGUGUUAACAUCUGGCUUUGCAAAUUCCUCAUAUUCUCUAGGUGCAUCAGAGCAUCUGUAGUUCAUCCUUCCUGGGGAAAAAGUGGAAACUGUUGCAUGUGUCUUUGCAAAGAGCAACAGUGUACAAUCUGCUUCCUAUUUAUUCACCUUGCUACAUUUUCCUAUAGAAACAAGUAGCAAAUGCAAUUGUAAUUCUGUAAAAAAAUUUGUAUCAAAUGGCAAAUACUUGGCUAGAAGUUAGGGGUGUAGAUGUGGAUUUACUGCAGAAGCAGAGGUAGGGAUGGGAUGUCUUUCUCUCCUGACCUGUGACAGGCAGUGCAGGAUGGUGUGAUCCCAGGCACACCCAACGAAGGUGGCUGCCCAGCAGCACCUUUCCUGGCAUGGGCUUCUGGUGAAGUCGUUCGUAUAUAAAGUAGUCUGGCAGAAGACUUCCUGUGGGAAUGUUUCUUCAUAGAAUCAUAGAAUGGCCUGGGUUGAAAAGGACUACAACGGUCAUCUAGUCUCAACCCACCUGCUAUGUGCAGGGUCACCAACCACCAGACCAGGCUGCCCAGAGCCACAUCCAGCCUGGCCUUGAAUGCCUCCAGGGAUGGGGCAUCCACAGCCUCCUUGUGCUUCAGAAUGACCAGUACUUUAACCAUUGUAUGUACUCCAAAAGGCUUCAUGGA
ensembl:lncRNA